rnacentral:rRNA from 1 species
GACGAACGCUGGCGGCGUGCCUAACACAUGCAAGUCGAGCGAGAGACUUCGGUCUCUAGCGGCGGACGGGUGAGUAACACGUGGGUAACCUGCCUCAAACAGGGGGAUAGCCUUCCGAAAGGAAGAUUAAUACCGCAUAACAUCAAGCUAUCGCAUGGUAGUUUGAUCAAAGGAGUAAUCCGGUUUGAGAUGGACCCGCGGCGCAUUAGCUAGUUGGUGAGGUAACGGCUCACCAAGGCCACGAUGCGUAGCCGACCUGAGAGGGUGAUCGGCCACAUUGGAACUGAGACACGGUCCAGACUCCUACGGGAGGCAGCAGUGGGGAAUAUUGCACAAUGGGCGAAAGCCUGAUGCAGCAACGCCGCGUGAGUGAUGAAGGCCUUCGGGUUGUAAAGCUCUGUCUUUGGGGACGAUAAUGACGGUACCCAAGGAGGAAGCCACGGCUAACUACGUGCCAGCAGCCGCGGUAAUACG